rnacentral:rRNA from 1 species
GCAAGUCUGGUGCCAGCAGCCGCGGUAAUUCCAGCUCCAAUAGCGUAUAUUAAAGUUGUUGCAGUUAAAAAGCUCGUAGUUGAACCUUGGGCCUGGCUGGCCGGUCCGCCUCACCGCGAGUACUGGUCCGGCUGGGCCUUUCCUUCUGGGGAACCCCAUGGCCUUCACUGGCCGUGGCGGGGAACCAGGACUUUUACUGUGAAAAAAUUAGAGUGUUCAAAGCGGGCCUUUGCUCGAAUACAUUAGCAUGGAAUAAUAGAAUAGGACGUGCGGUUCUAUUUUGUUGGUUUCUAGGACCAUCGUAAUGAUUAAUAGGGACGGUCGGGGGCAUCAGUAUUCAAUUGUCAGAGGUGAAAUUCUUGGAUUUAUUGAAGACUAACUACUGCGAAAGCAUUGCCAA